GCUGGGCAUGGUGGCCCACACCUGUAAUCUCAGUAACUCAGGAGGCUGAGGCAGGAGGAUGGCAAGUUCAAAGCCAGCCUCAGUAACUUACGGAGGCCUUGAGCAACUUAGUGAGACCUGUCUCUA
rnacentral:sRNA from 1 species